GAGAUCUUCUAAGGAAUUAACUCAUGCAGUUUUGGAGGCUGAGAAGCCCCGAGAUCUUCAGCAGUUCAUGGAGUUUUGGAGACUUGCCAACUUGACCGGCGGGCACGGUUGGGCCAUCCCAGGACUUCCGGCUCUUUCUGCAUCAACCACCCCAUCUCUCCUGGGCAUAAGCUAUGAAACGAACCACCUUUGUACAUAGAGCAACUUCUUUGGAGGAAAAGGGAGGCUGGAAUUUCAGAGUGUGGCUAAAUAAUGCAGAACCCCGCUGACAGCCUGGAAGAUUCAUCCUACCGGGAUUGCGUCCCCCUCCCUCCCUUCCACGAUUUCACACAGUUCCAAGCGCGUGUCUUGUACACCCUUGUGCUCCAGUCCCCGGAGGGAGGCAGAGAGGAGAAAGCUCCAUGUUGGAGGGUCUGUUCUCUCACUCUUUGCUGUGCAACCCCGAGCAACUUGUGUCUUCCGUUUGCUGAGGCCGCAACCAGAAUGAUUGCUACUAAGUAGGGAGCUAACCAACCAGAUACGUAACCUUGAAACUCCCAGACGAAAUUUCACGAGAGACUUAAUGCUUGUGUUAACAGUCUUCCAGAAGUCUUGUUCCAGUCCGAGGACAGCUUCUAAAAUUUUGACUGCCGUCUGUUUGGCAAACAUAGACUGGAUAGUUGAGCAAGGUGCAACACGAGAAUAAUGUCUGGGAACUUGUUAGAAAUGC